GACAGAGGGUGCAAACGUUGUUCGGAAUUACUGGGCGUAAAGCGUGUGUAGGCGGCCAGAUAAGUCGGGUGUGAAAGCCCUGGGCUCAACCCAGGAAGUGCACUCGAUACUGCUUGGCUUGAGUACUGGAGAGGUUGGUGGAAUUCUCGGUGUAGAGGUGAAAUUCGUAGAUAUCGAGAGGAACACCGGUGGCGAAGGCGGCCAACUGGACAGAUACUGACGCUGAGACACGAAAGCGUGGGGAGCAAACAGG
rnacentral:rRNA from 1 species